rnacentral:rRNA from 1 species
AUGCAUUGGUUUUCUUGGUGGAAACUAUGCUACCCCAAGAGUGAAGGGGGCAUGGGAUUUAGAGAUUUAUACUCCUUCAACUUGGCAAUGCUAUCAAAACAGUGGUGGAGGUUGAUCACUUGUCCUGAAUCUUUGUGUGCUAGAGUGCUCAAAGCAAAAUAUUUCCCAAAUGGUAGUCUACUCCAAGCUAGCUUAAAAAAUGGAGCAUCGGUUACUUGGCAAAGUAUCAUGAAAGGAUUAGAGACCUUCAAGCUGGGAUACAUAUGGAGAAUUGGGACAGGAGAGCAUGUGAACAUUUGGAGGGACCCGUGGAUCCCAGCUAGCCCGGACAGGAAGGUGAUAUCAUUGAGAGGCCACUCUAUUCUUUCCACUGUUCAAGAGCUCAUCGACCCCAACACCGGAUUAUGGGAUGAAGACUUGCUUCGGUCGAUCCUAAAUCCGGUAGAUGUUAACAGGAUCUUACAAAUCCCGUUAAACUACAAUUCUUUUGAUGACUUUAUAGCAUGGCACCCUGAUCGGAAAGGGGAUUUUUCUGUUCGCACA